UACCAGCACCCCGAGUGGUCGGGACGAUUAUUGGGCCUAAAGCAUCCGUAGCCGGUUUUACAAGUCCUCCGUUAAAUCCAGCUGCUUAACAGAUGGGCUGCGGAGGAUACUAUAAGACUAGGAGGCAGGAGAGGCAAGCGGUACUCAGUGGGUAGGGGUAAAAUCCGUUGAUCCAUUGAAGACCACCAGUGGCGAAGGCGGCUUGCCAGAAUGCGCUCGACGGUGAGGGA
rnacentral:rRNA from 1 species